GCUCAAAUUUGAAAUCUGGCGUCUUCGGCGUCCGAGUUGUAAUUUGAAGAAGGUAUCUUUGAGGCUGGCUCUUGUCUAUGUUCCUUGGAACAGGACGUCACAGAGGGUGAGAAUCCCGUGCGAUGAGAUGCCCAGUUUCGUGUAAAGUUCCUUCGACGAGUCGAGUUGUUUGGGAAUGCAGCUCUAAGUGGGUGGUAAAUUCCAUCUAAAGCUAAAUAUUGGCGAGAGACCGAUAGCGAACAAGUACUGUGAAGGAAAGAUGAAAAGAACUUUGAAAAGAGAGUGAAAAAGUACGUGAAAUUGUUGAAAGGGAAGGGCUUGAGGUCAGACUUGGUUUACCAGGCCAGCAUCAGUUUGGACGGCAGGAUAAUAGCAUUGGAAAGUGGCACCACUUCGGUGGUGUGUUAUAGCCUUUGUUGAUACUGCCUGUCUAGACUGAGGACUGCGUCUUUGACUAGGAUGCUGGCAUAAUGACCUUAAGCCGCCC
rnacentral:rRNA from 1 species